AUUGAACGCUGGCGGAAUGCUUUACACAUGCAAGUCGAGCGGCAGCGCGGGGGCAACCCUGGCGGCGAGCGGCGAACGGGUGAGUAACACAUCGGAACGUACCUUUUAGUGGGGGAUAACUAUCCGAAAGGAUAGCUAAUACCGCAUACGCCCUGAGGGGGAAAGAGGGGGAUCGCAAGACCUCUCGCUAAAAGAGCGGCCGAUGUCGGAUUAGCUAGUUGGUGAGGUAAAGGCUCACCAAGGCGACGAUCCGUAGCUGGUCUGAGAGGAUGAUCAGCCACACUGGGACUGGAACACGGCCCAGACUCCUACGGGAGGCAGCAGUGGGGAAUUUUGCGCAAUGGGGGAAACCCUGACGCAGCGACGCCGUGUGAGUGAUGAAGGCUUUCGGGUCGUAAAGCUCUGUCGGAUGGGACGAAUAAAGGGUGUGUGAAUAAUGCACUCUGAUGACGGUACCGUCGAAGGAAGCACCGGCUAACUCCGUGCCAGCCGCCGCGGUAA
rnacentral:rRNA from 1 species